CGGUCCGCAGUUCACCGAGGCGUCGCCGGGCAUCUGCCCAUGCUGAACCUGCAA
rfam:Jannaschia donghaensis strain CECT 7802 genome assembly, contig: 0012